rnacentral:rRNA from 1 species
GACGAGCGCUGGCGGCGUGCCUAAUACAUGCAAGUUGAGCGCUGAAGGUUGGUACUUGUACCAACUGGAUGAGCAGCGAACGGGUGAGUAACGCGUGGGGAAUCUGCCUUUGAGCGGGGGACAACAUUUGGAAACGAAUGCUAAUACCGCAUAAAAACUUUAAACACAAGUUUUAAGUUUGAAAGAUGCAAUUGCAUCACUCAAAGAUGAUCCCGCGUUGUAUUAGCUAGUUGGUGAGGUAAAGGCUCACCAAGGCGAUGAUACAUAGCCGACCUGAGAGGGUGAUCGGCCACAUUGGGACUGAGACACGGCCCAAACUCCUACGGGAGGCAGCAGUAGGGAAUCUUCGGCAAUGGACGAAAGUCUGACCGAGCAACGCCGCGUGAGUGAAGAAGGUUGUCGGAUCGUAAAACUCUGUUGGUAGAGAAGAACGUUGGUGAGAGUGGAAAGCUCAUCAAGUGACGGUAACUAACCAGAAAGGGACGGCUAACUACGUG